ensembl:lncRNA
AGUGUAGUAGUAGUGGUGUUCUGUCUCCAGUAGUUACCAGUGUAGUGGUGUUCUGUCUCCAGUAGUUACCAGUGUAGUAGUAGUGGUGUUCUGUCUCCAGUAGUUACCAGUGUAGUAGUAGUGGUGUUCUGUCUCCAGUAGUUACCAGUGUAGUAGUAUUGGUGUUCUGUCUCCAGUAGUUACCAGUGUAGUGGUGUUCUGUCUCCAGUAGUUACCAGUGUAGUAGUAGUGGUGUUCUGUCUCCAGUAGUUACCAGUGUAGUAGUAGUGGUGUUCUGUCUCCAGUAGUUACCAGUGUAGUGGUGUUCUGUCUCCAGUAGUUACCAGUGUAGUGGUGUUCUGUCUCCAGUAGUUACCAGUGUCGUAGUAUUGGUGUUCUGUCUCCAGUAGUUACCAGUGUAGUGGUGUUCUGUCUCCAGUAGUUACCAGUGUCGUAGUAUUGGUGUUCUGUCUCCAGUAGUUACCAGUGUAGUAGUAGUGUUCUGUCUCCAGUAGUUACCAGUGUAGUAGUAGUGUUCUGUCUCCAGUAGUUACCAGUAUAGUGGUGUUCUGUCUCCAGUAGUUACCAGUGUAGUAGUAGUGUUCUGUCUCCAGUAGUUACCAGUGUCGUAGUGUUCUGUCUCCAAUAGUUACCAGUGUAGUAGUAGUGGUGUUCUGUCUCCAGUAGUUACCAGUGUAGUAAUAGUGGUGUUCUGUCUCCAGUAGUUACCAGUGUAGUAGUGUUCUGUCUCCAGUAGUUACCAGUGUAGUGGUGUUCUGUCUCCAGUAGAUACCAGUGUCGUAGUAUUGGUGUUCUGUCUCCAGUAGUUACCAGUGUAGUAGUAGUGCUGUUCUGUCUCCAGUAGUUACCAGUGUAGUGGUAUUGGUGUUCUGUCUCCAGUAGUUACCAGUGUAGUAGUAGUGUUGUUCUGUCUCCAGUAGUUACCAGUGUAGUAGUAUUGGUGUUCUGUCUCCAGUAGUUACCAGUGUAGUAGUAGUGGUGUUCUGUCUCCAUUAGUUACCAGUGUAGUGGUGUUCUGUCUCCAGUAGUUACCAGUGUAGUAGUAGUGGUGUUCUGUCUCCAUUAGUUACCAGUGUAGUGGUGUUCUGUCUCCAGUAGUUACCAGUGUAGUAGUAGUGGUGUUCUGUCUCCAGUAGUUACCAGUGUAGUAGUAGUGGUGUUCUGUCUCCAGUAGUUACCAGUGUAGUAGUAGUGGUGUUCUGUCUCCAGUAGUUACCAGUGUAGUAGUGUUCUGUCUCCAGUAGUUACCAGUGUAGUAGUAUUGGUGUUCUGUCUCCAGUAGUUACCAGUGUAGUAAUAGUGGUGUUCUGUCUCCAGUAGUUACCAGUGUAGUAGUGUUCUGUCUCCAGUAGUUACCAGUGUAGUGGUGUUCUGUCUCCAGUAGUUACCAGUGUAGUGGUGUUCUGUCUCCAGUAGAUACCAGUGUCGUAGUAUUGGUGUUCUGUCUCCAGUAGUUACCAGUGUAGUAGUAGUGCUGUUCUGUCUCCAGUAGUUACCAGUGUAGUGGUAUUGGUGUUCUGUCUCCAGUAGUUACCAGUGUAGUAGUAGUGGUGUUCUGUCUCCAGUAGUUACCAGUGUAGUAGUAGUGGUGUUCUGUCUCCAGUAGUUACCAGUGUAGUGGUGUUCUGUCUCCAGUAGUUACCAGUGUAGUGGUGUUCUGUCUCCAUUAGUUACCAGUGUAGUGGUGUUCUGUCUCCAGUAGUUACCAGUGUAGUAGUAGUGGUGUUCUGUCUCCAGUAGUUACCAGUGUAGUAGUAUUGUUGU